ensembl:lncRNA
CAGAAUCAGAAGUCGGUGUACAAGACAAUUUGUGAUUUUCUUUAGAGUAAGAGAAAGGCAUCUCCAUGGGAGAGUAUAAAUAAAUAUUAAACAGAAGUCACAAAUGUAUUGCUCAAGCUACACAGAACACAUCAUCUGUAUUGCAUCAGCUCCAAGAAACAGUGAGAAAAAGAAUAAUGUAUUCACCUGAAGGAAAAAGCUGUCACAGAGGACAAUCAGUGUAGUCCUUUGGUGUCUGCAAAAGGUCUGCCAGUGACUGUAAUUUCCUGGAUUAGAUGAACCACUCCCUCAUCCUUUAAGGCAAUGGCUACAGCUUCACUCCGGUAUUGGUGAGGUCGAGCAAGUGAAUGAAGCAGUGGGAAAUGCUAGACAAGUGCG